UUAUAAUCUAAAUUAUACUUUCUGGUCAGAUUAGUAUUCAGUCUCUACAUUGCUAGGUGUAUAUAAACAUUAUUCAAAGUUAAGCCAAAUGGACACCUGGGUAUGUGGGGAAUGUGAGGUAUCCCAGGGUUUCACUGCUCCUUACGAAGACUUUCCAUUGGUGUUACUGUUUUCAUCUCACCAACACCUACUUCCAAAUUUCCGCCUGGCCGCAAUUCCUGAGUCUUCUGAGAUGCUAAAGGGCAAACGAACCUUCUUAGUGAUUUUAUUUGCUGAAGGGUUUCCAUGUUUUCUGGUCUGGCAAAUCACUUAUCACAAAUCAGUCCAUAGCUUUCUAUAUAUACGUUCUUUUUUCCCUCAUCUUAUUUCUUUUCCCUUGCUUUCUUUGCCCUUAUCAGUUUAAGAAGGUUUUGUUUACUCACUGAAAUUUUAAUAUAUUCCUGGAGUAAACCAUAUAUGUUUUAGUCUCCUGUGUUUAACCAGUGUUUUGCAUACUCUUUUAAAAGUCUAGCUAAUAAUUCUACAUACCAUUAUUAACCUCGUUUUAUAGAUGACCAAAACAAGGAUGGAAAAAGAUAAAUAACUUGCCCAAAGUUGUACAAAUAGUGAGUGGUAAUUCCACUUACUAAUACAAAUCAUGUUCUUUUCUUUUCAGCACACUGCCUUUUACUGCAAGACACAGUUCCUGUUUUAAGGAGUUUAUAGUUUCUGUGGGGAGAUAAGACAAGUGCAUGGAUAUUAGAUAGAAUGCAUUAAAUGUCAGGAACAAGGAAAAUGGCCUAAUGUGCAAUGGGAACUCAGAGCUGCCUUCUUUCAGGUCAGCUGCCUCUGAUGCCCAACAGGCCAGCAACAGGAUAGGAUUUGGAGAAACCAUGAGAGCCCCAGUUUCCUGAGCCUCAUUUGUGGUUGUGGCAGACGAUUGAGAAGAGGAAGUAUGAAUUGCAGUGAGAUGCAGUGGGAAAGAAAGAAUUCAUACCAUCAGGAUGACCUCUGCUGUUGAUGUAUUCUUGCCUACACAGAUUUAGGAACAUCCUGAACUUGGAAAUGGAUACUCCUUUGGGAUGCCCCUAUAUCAGCUUUAGCUGAGACCACCAGAUUUGUCUGCAUGGGAAACACUACUGUUACUCUGAUAGGCAUCAAGUUGGAUCCCUGAAGCUUCUCCAAGAUGUUUUCAAGCCACUAGGAAGUGUUUUUGCCAUCACCACAAAGAGGAGGAUGCUCCUGGGAGAUGGCAAGGAACUGUCAUUUCGCCUGUAAAAAGAGGGAGGAGAAAAAAUCAUUAGUCAGACCUGCUCUCCAAUGAUCCUGAGAUAUCUUGCAUGGUACACAUGCUCCUGCUGCAUCAUUUCCAAAGUUCCUGCCAUAGGACUGGGAAAGAUCUUCUGGACCCUUCCUAGCAGAGCAGUAGUUGAGCCGCAGGGGAGCCCAAGAGCAGCCUGCAAGCAUGUUUCGAAGGGGUGGUCAACACGCAGAGAGCCCCAGGAACCCACUUGAGAGUCAGCUCAGGGCCCAGUGGACAUGGUGAGGAUAACUCCAACCUGGUGGAGUGGAGAGAGAGCUCCUUCUAUCUCUUCAUGCUGUGUUGCAACUCAUUUUGCCUCCUCUAAACAAGAUGAUCUCUCCAAAUACUCACCAUAUGCGAACAGCUCUCCACCCACACUGGCCUCGCUGCUACUCUGACAAUCCCUGCUGAGAACUCUGCUGCCUGAAAUAUGAUAUCCACCCUGCAGUCCAAGUGCCCAGAAACAAGACACUGGAAAGAGAACCACAUGUGUGACGACUUUUUCACAGAGCCUUCCACUUGCAGCAAUGUUUGUAGACCUGGAACCAAGUGCAAGUACUGAUGUUCACCUGGGCAUCUGCCAACAGCUCUGUCACUCUGGCCAGUUCAUCCCAGCAAGGAAGAUGCUGCCCUUGUCUGUGAGCACACACACAAUACCAGUGGAAAAGAAAGCACUGGCCUCAUUCCAUGACAGAUUAAAAACUGCAUUGGCAGCUCACAGAAUUUUUUUUUUUUAUUUUAUUGGAGUAUAGUUGACUUACAGUGUUAUAUUACUUUCAAGUAUACAGCAAAGUGAAUCAGUCAUACAUGUAAAUAUAUCCAUUCUUUUUCCCCCAUAUAAGUUAUUACAAACUACUGAGUAGGUUUUCUCAUGCUCUACUGUAGGUUCUCAUUAAUCAUCUGUUUUAUAAUGUAAUAUGUAUGUGCUAUUCCCAUCCUUCCAAUUCUUCCCUCCCCCCCCCAACGGUUUCACUUAUGGUAACCAUAAGAUUGAUUUUGAAAUCCAUGUGUUUGUUUCUGUUUUAUAAAUAAGUUCUUUUGUAUUGUUUUUAUUAGAUUCCACAUAAAAGUGGUUUCAUAUGAUAUCUGUCAUUAGGCUUCUUAGUUUGCCUCAGGUCUGGUGGAGGAACCAGUCCUUGUUUUAUAUCCAUGCUGAUGGACCAGAUACUGGUUUUGGCAAGAAGUCAAAAAUGGAGUUCUCUUCAUCACUGAGACAUGGAUGUUCAGGUUUCCAUACAUUAAUGCAGGGACUCUAACUCCAUCAUCGUCACCAUCACCACCCUGGAGCAUUCUGACUGUGCCUUCAUAGCAGUCAAUGAGGGCAUCCGUGGUAUGUCACAGAAGUUGCCUUCCUGAGAGUCUCAUCUAUAUGAAUCCUAAUUGCUUUUGCCAGAUUUUAUCCCCUUUCACUGCAUCUCUUAGGCUUAAAAGUGACCAUUCUAUUGACCUGAUGCAAUUGCAAUUAGUUCAACAUUAUGCCCAGUCCUGCUGGUCACAUGAGCUCCCAUUAUUUUUGCUGGGUAAGUCUCUCAUGAACAGCUCUCUUUGGUGGAGAGUUGGGAAAAUGCAGUCCCUGUCGUGGUAAAUAUAUGGCUCAAUGCCCUUUGUCCUAUAACUGUAAGGGUCUAGAUUUACCAACCAAUGCCAUUAUAAACUGGACAUGGUGUCCAGUUGGCAGAUGGGUGCCUCCCUGGCUCCAGUUUGGAUACCAACAGCAGAUUCUCAGAUGUAAGUGUUGCUGAAAUACAGUGAGCUGCAAAGGCAGUUACCUCACUGCUUUUAUUGAUAUUUAAGCUCUCCUAGAUCUCAAAUUUGUCUUGAUAUAUGUUAAGAGGACUUUGUCCUUUAAUAAGUAGGUGAGGGAUUAGAGGAAGGGCAAGUUUCUGAGACAUAUAAGAGCUACCUGAAUGUUAGGGACUGAAUUGUGUGCCCCCAAUGUCACAUGUUCAAGUCCUUACUCUCAGUACACCUCAGAGUGUGACUGUGAGUCUUUAAAAAGGUAAUUAAAGUUAAAUGAGAUCAUAAGGGCAGGCCCUAAUCCAAUAUGACGGAUGUCCUCAUAGCAAGAGAGACACACAAGACAUGCACACUGAGGAAAAGCCACGUGGGGCAGAGAGAGAGGGCGAACAUCUGCAAGCCAAGGAGAGAGGCCCCAGAAGAAACCAGACCUGCCAACACCUUAUUCUUUGACGUCCAGCUUCCAGAACUGUGAGAAAGUAAAUUUCCAUUGGUUAAGCUACCCAGUCUGUAGUAUUUUGCUAUGGCAGCCAUAGGAAACUAAUAUACCUAUAGAAAGAUUAUAAUAAAGUUGAACAUAUUACUGAGAGGGAAGAAGGUGAAGUGUCACUUUUAUACUGUUUGGGUUUUUCUUAUUUCUGUUCUAUGCAAUUGCUUUGUUAAGCUUUUGUGACUUGUUAUAAAACAUUACUUGUUUUUAAAGUUUCCCUUUAAGGCAUUUCCAUUUGUUUAGGCAUUCUCUCUUAUGUGGGCCUUUUUAGUUAACAUAGUCUGCUGCACACAUUUCAGGGGCAUAAGGAAGUGGGUGAAAGCAUGGGCUGCACAUCAGACCACACUUACUCCUUCUGCAGCCUUGACCUCCACGAUCUCUCUGACCAUUCACACAGCCUUUCCUGGCUCCACACAGGUCCCUGCAGAAGGGACUUUCAUAUGUUCUCAACCUUCUCCCUGUUUUUCCAGCUACAAUACUUUCUCAAAACUCAAUCGCCAUUUCAGGAAUGCUAUCAAAAUGUUGUUUAGAAGCACGUAUGAGUCUAUGUGAAAAUUAUCAAAGUAGGAAGUUAUUUUAUGAGUUAGAACAUGCCAAUUCACCUGUGUAUGUUCAACUCUGUAAACUGAAAUACAGUGAUUUGACAAAAUCUAAGGUAUAAGUUGGGGACUGAGAUUUUUCUUAGACAAAAGAAUCCUCUGUUAAAAAAAAAAAAAUCUGCCGAGGCACCGUUCAUGAAGGAACAAAAUCAUCAAAUAAGGAACUGUGGAAAGGAACGGCCUCCAGGACCACCUCUGCUUUGGGAUCCUAUCUGGCACAUUCCUACUUUCAGCUUAUCUGACGUUAAGACCCUUGGAACCACUUUGAACUGUCAGAUCAGCUCCAAGGGGCUUUGCCCAAAUAUCAAAAAUAAAGGCCCAUGUUUCUCUUCAUCGUCAUCAUUCAUUUAUAUAUUUUUAGUCAUAGUUGCAUAAACAGGUAGAGCAGAGAGUAUAAAAGAAGCACACAGUAUUUAAAAAAUUGCUUCCCUUCUCUUCCUUUUAGUCUUGGUCCGUUACUGAUCUCUAACUUGCCUGGACAUUUGUCAAUUACAAGGAGAAUACUGAGAACCUUAAUUUGGCCAUUUGUAUUUACAUUGAACAGAUGGCUAGACUUUUCUGAGAUUUUGUUUUCUAAUCUAUAAAAUAGGGAUAAUAACACCUGGGCAUCAUGGUGAUUGAAUGUGACAGGGCAUGUUCAUGCUUUUAGCCCAGGGCCUGGCAGUGGACAAUGCUCAUGUUAGCUAGGGUACCAUCAGUUUCAAGUGCUUCCUCCAUAAGAUGUUACCCAUUGAACUUCUCUUUCAGGUGUGGCAAUGUUGCCGUGGUUCUUCAUCUUCAGCUUUCUGAGAUUUUUUUUUUCAUUCAUUCACCUACUCAUAGAUUUAUUCAGAUCAUGUUAGGUACUAGGGAGACUCACUAUAGGGAAUUCUUCUUGUCUCUGGACUUUGCAUAAAUCAAAGUCCAGAGAUUUAAGAUUCAUAGAAAAACCCCACUCUUGACUCCAAUGUCCUUUUAGUUUCUAUCCUUCCUUGAAUGUUAUAAUCCAUUUAGGAACGUCUGUUUGCUGUGAUUACUUGUUUUACUCUUCUGUAGUUCUCAGUGAAGACACAUUAGUUACUCUAGGUAAACAGCUCUCCAUAUCAGUCACCACGGAAUAGGUUAUCUGAAUGAUAUCAGAAACCAAAGUACUAGUCCUAGGAUGGAUUUCACAUGUACCUGAGACCUUUUCAUCCCAGACCUUAGGCAUCACAGCUUAAGUCCCCCUCUUCCCUUCCUUUACCACAGACAGGUUUUAAAAAAAGAGGGGCUUCUCUCCCUCCUCCUUCCCCCCAAGACUUUAACAUCACCUGUGAUUACAACCUUCUUGCCACCAUCAUUCACUGUAGUCAAGUAUGUGCAAAGAAUAGAAUUUUCUGUAAUGAUGGAAAUACAGACACAUAUAUAUCUACCUGUAUUAAUAUAUAGUUACCUGCCACUAUUGAUCAUUUGAAAUGUAGCUAGUAAAACCAAAGAAAAUACAUUUUUAAUUUUAGCUAAUCCCAGUUUAAAUAGCCGCAGAUGGCUAGUGGCUAUUGUUUGGACAAUGUUACUAUUUAUGAGAUUAUUGCAGGAUGCAUGUUGAUACUGGUAAGGAACUCUCUUAGGUUCAUGUGAACUAGGCACCUGCAAUAAGACUGAGACCCUCCCCCCAUCAUUUUUCCCCUCAGAGGAGAGAGUUGCAGGUAAAAAGUAGCAAACUUUUCCUCUUAGUUGCUCCUCUUUUAAUUUCCUUGUUAGGUGGGUAAAGCUCUUAAUGCAUUCUGCUUGGAACCUAGAUGCAUGUAUUAUGCAAAAUAGUCACAACAGCCCUAAAAGGUAAUUAUCUCCAUUUUAUACAUGAAGCACAGAAGAAUAAAGUAACUUGCUUGAUGUCUCAGAGUUAAUAAGCCACAGACUUGGGAUUUAAACCAAGGUCUGCGUAAAGAAAUCCUGUCUUCUCACCAUCUCUGCUCACCAGCCCGUGACACAGCCAUUUUCAAGCCUAUUUGUCAUCACUGCACAUUCAAAACACUAUGUGUGAAGCUAUUCUGGGUCAUACUGCAUUUCCUUAUCAUGUUUCCUACGUUACUGAGCAAUGCAAAGCUGAGCUUUCAGUGCUGCUCCACAGAUUCCUGUCUUUGCUUCCUGAGUCCAUAUUUAUACCUGUACCCUCAUUAAGGAGAUGGGAUGCUUUCUCAAAGGACUGAAGGGUUUUGUUUUGUUUUGUUUUGCAAGAGACUUAUAAAAAAUCCUGGGGAUAUACACAUUCAACACAUCCUCAUAAUUUAUCGAUGCAUUAUUCUUUCCCACUUUGCUAGUGAAGAAAUGGAGGCUUAGAAUGAUAUAUUCAAUGAACAGCAAACAUAUCAGGAAAUCAGAAGGGGGUCCAAAAAUAGGAGCCAGGUCAAUGUGCAGCCUGAAGUUAAGGCAAGAUGCCCAAAAAUAUGGAAGGGUCACCCCUUCCCAACAAAAUCAACAGUAUUUAUUUCCAAGCAGUUCUUAGAAGUGAAAAUAGGCAGAACUGGAAAUAAUAUUGCAGACCACACAUUCACCCUCCUUCUCACAAGUGUGGCCUGGGAAAUUUCUCAAGACCAAGGUAGCUCAUCUCCUUAAGAGCGUCAAAUUAGGUAUAGAAGCAGUAGUGGACCCUUUUUUACCUAAGCAUGAAUGGAUUUCUGAAAAUAUUCUGAUAGCAGCAUAAAAACAGGACCUCCAUGCAUGGAUCAGUCUUGGGUUCCAGCAACAGGAGCAAUAUAUUAUGGUGGGCAAAUGUAUUUAAUAAAUGACAUUGGGAAAGGUUUGAUUUAAGCCAGUUCAUUUAUUUUAUGGGGUUGUUGAUAGGUCUUUGAGGGCAGUUAUUUCCAGACAGCCUAUCCUUGGUAAAAUGUGAGUUAUCUUCCUGAGUCAAAGAGUACUUGAGAGGACAGGAAGUCAACAACGUUCUCUUCUAAGCUUUCUUCAUUGUUUGCAUAAAGCAAACUUCCAUUAUACUACAUACUUUAAAUGGAACUUCCUUUUAAAUCUCCACUGGAUUUUUUAUUACCCUCUUGCAAGGUCAACAGCAGCUAUCCUAGCCUUGGAAAACAUGGUCUGCUUUUGAAAAGCAACAAGAGCAAGGUUAUAAAAAUGUAGAUCCAAGAAUUUUUCUCAGCAUAACAUCACUACUCAAGAAAAAAACUUAGAAGGACACGGAAGGGUCUUGGUAGGUCCAGCAUCAGUAUCCAGGUCAGCUAGUCUGAAAAGAAAAUGGAGAGAUAUCCAGUGGGUCAGUGAUGGGAAAAGCAUACGAAGGCUUUGAAAAAUAAUAGACACAAAUGAAGAGCAGAAAACUACUGUUUAGGGCUGCUGUGACAAAUUAUGACAGACUGGUUUCUUAAAACAAUAGAAAUGUAUUCUCUUAUAGUCUUGGAGACUGUAAGUCUAGAAUUAAGAUGUUAGCGGUGCUGGUUCCUUCUGGAGGUUCCAGGGAGAAAUCUAGUCUCUGACUCUGCCCUUGCUUGUGGUGGUUGCCAGCAAGAGUAGGAAUUCCUAGGGUAUAACUUCAUCACUUUGAUCUCUGCCUCACUAUGGUCCCUAAGUGGCACACCGCUUCACGGUGACAGUCAUUACAUGGCCUUCUUCUAAAGACCUGUCAUUCAGAUUUAGGGCCAACCUUAAACCAAUUAUCACUUCAGCUUAACUAAUUAAAGCAGAAGAGAUGCUUUUUCCGAAUAAGAUCACAUUCUGAAAUUCCAGUAGACAUGAAUUUUGGAGGAUUCUCUUCCAUCAGUACAACCACUGUAGGAAUUAUCAGUAAUCCCUGACUUCGGGUCUCCAGAGAGACUCAUGGCACUGUGGAGGGACUUUAACUGGGAAUCUGGAGCCUGGUUGUGCUACACACUUGCUCUGGGGUUGGACUUGAGUGCACCUUAGUCAUUCACACACAAAUGAAGGGGUUAGAGGAGUUCCAGCAUCUCUCACCCUGGGAACCCUGAAUGGGCUUCAUGGCCUCCAUUAAUCUUCUAAAAUUGUGUGUACAUCAUUACACCUGGCAUGCUUACACGUUCUUUAAAACAGAUUUUCUGUGUCUUUCCUGAGGCUUCCCAAAGGUUCUUGAACCCGGGAGGCUGAGAACAAUUGUAUCAAAUCAUCUACAGAAUUCUCCAAAACAUUCUGACUUCUGGAGAUAUUUUUUUAUCUGUGGUUGUGUUUCCCCAAUUUGAUGAUCUAUUCAGAGCUUCUGGAUAGUGUAUUAAAAGUAUAGCCUUUAAAGAGUUCCUGUUGUGGCUCAAAAGGUUAAGAACCAGAC